UGGCUCAGUUGGUAGAGCAUGGUGUUUGCAACGCUAGGGUUGUGGUUUCGAUUCCCAC
rnacentral:tRNA from 1 species